UAUACAGGUGUUGCAUGGCUGUCGUCAGCUCGUGUCGUGAGAUGUUCGGUUAAGUCCGCUAACGAGCGCAACCCUCGUCGUAUGUUAUAUGUGUCAUACGAGACUGCCGGUAAAAGCCGGAGGAAGGUGAGGAUGAUGUCAAGUCAGCAUGACCUUUAUAUCCAGGGCUACACACACGCUACAGUGGUCUGUACAAUGGGUAGCCAAGCCGCGAGGCGGAGCCAAUCCUGAAAGCAGGCCUCAGUUCAGAUUGCAGUCUGCAACUCGACUGCAUGAAGCCGGAGUUGCUAGUAACCGCAGGUCAGCAAUACUGCGGUGAAUACGUUCCCGGGUCUU
rnacentral:rRNA from 1 species